AUUGAACGCUGGCGGCAGGCCUAACACAUGCAAGUCGAACGAGUGGCGGACGGGUGAGUAAUGUCUGGGAAACUGCCUGAUGGAGGGGGAUAACUACUGGAAACGGUAGCUAAUACCGAAUAACAUCGGAUGUGCCCAGAUGGGAUUAGCUAGUAGGUGGGGUAACGGCUCACCUAGGCGACGAUCCCUAGCUGGUCUGAGAGGAUGACCAGCCACACUGGAACUGAGACACGGUCCAUAGUCCAACGGGAGGAAGCAGUGGGGAAUAUUGCACAAUGGGCGCAAGCCUGAUACAGCCAUGCCGCGUGUAUGAAGAAGGCCUUCGGGUUGUAAAGUACUUUCAGCUGGGAGGCGUUACCAACAGAAUAAGCACCGGCUAACUUCGUGCCAGCAGCCGCGGUAAUUC
rnacentral:rRNA from 1 species